rnacentral:rRNA from 1 species
CAGUAGCCGCGGUAAUACGUAGGUGGCAAGCGUUGUCCGGAAUUAUUGGGCGUAAAGGGCUCGCAGGCGGUUUCUUAAGUCUGAUGUGAAAGCCCCCGGCUCAACCGGGGAGGGUCAUUGGAAACUGGGAAACUUGAGUGCAGAAGAGGAGAGUGGAAUUCCACGUGUAGCGGUGAAACGCGUAGAGAUGUGGAGGAACACCAGUGGCGAAGGCGACUCUCUGGUCUGUAACUAACGCUGAGGAGCGGAAGCGUGGGGAGCGAACAGGAUUAGAUACCCCCGUAGUCCCUGUCUCUUAUAC